GGGCCAGUGGUCUAGUGGUUAUGACGUCGCGCUUACAACGCGGAGGCCGCCUGUUCAAUUCCGGCCUGGCCCA
rnacentral:tRNA from 1 species